UGAAUCCUUCGCCCGCUCUCUCCCACCGCUGAUCGUUCCAUCCAUUUCUCCCAUCGGAUCGCCGUUUCCUUCAUCCUAUCUCGGUCGCUAUGACCGCUGCCACCCUUCCGCCCACCACCGGCGGGAGGGAGCUAUCCGGGCCUCCUUCCGACGGCAUCUCCAACCACAGCGACCUCCUCCUGGGAUAAGAGUCUUCGUCUUUACGAUGCCGGGGCGAACGUUCUCGAGGGGGAGUUCGUGCAUGCUGGCCCCGUCCUCGAUUGCUGCUUCCACGAUGAUUCAGCACGGUUCAGCGCCUGUGCCGAUCAUACGGUUAGAAGAAAAUUUAAAGCAUCUCCAUCCUCUCAAUUAAUGGUAACUGCCAAAAGUCAGCUAUGGGACGUUUGCAACGGGAGGUUGCGACGGUUAUGUUAACCUAUGGGAUGGCAACAAUAAGAAAAGACUUUAUCAGUAUUCAAAAUACCCAACAAGCAUUGCUGCAUUAUCUUUCAGCAGAGACGGCCAUCUGCUUGCCGUAGCAUCUAGCUACACAUUUGAAGGCUGACACACUUCAUGAGCCCGAUGCCAUCUUUGUGCGGAAUGUAAACGAAGUCGAAGUAAAACCAAAGCCAAAGGCAUAGCCUGCACCACCUUCAUAAUAAACUGGUCCUCGAAUAUGAGAAAUAGGUCCUUCAAUUUGUGGUGUAUUUAAUUUUCAGUUGUUUUGUUCUCACAUUUUUUGUAUUUCUGGAAAAUUUAUGCCUGUAUCUGUUUCUGCCUAUUGUGGCUGCUGCAUUUGAAUGGCUC